rnacentral:misc_RNA from 1 species
AAGUCGUAACAAGGUUUUCGUAGGUGAACCUGCGGAAGGAUCAUUAGAGAAAGAGGCGCGGCGUAAGCCGUGCCGCCAAGUGUGAAGCAAGUGUCCUGGGCUGCGGCCCACAGUAUGUACGAGCAGGGAGGACAGACAAAGAACAACUUUCAGCGAUGGAUCUCUUGGCUCUCACACCGAUGAAGAACGAAGC